GAUGAACGCUGGCGGCGUGCCUAAUACAUGCAAGUCGAGCGAACAGACGAGGAGCUUGCUCCUUUGACGUUAGCGGCGGACGGGUGAGUAACACGUGGGUAACCUACCUAUAAGACUGGGAUAACUUCGGGAAACCGGAGCUAAUACCGGAUAAUAUUUCGAACCGCAUGGUUCGAUAGUGAAAGAUGGCUUUGCUAUCACUUAUAGAUGGACCUGCGCCGUAUUAGCUAGUUGGUAAGGUAACGGCUUACCAAGGCAACGAUACGUAGCCGACCUGAGAGGGUGAUCGGCCACACUGGAACUGAGACACGGUCAGACUCCUACGGGAGGCAGCAGUAGGGAAUCUUCCGCAAUGGGCGAAAGCCUGACGGAGCAACGCCGCGUGAGUGAUGAAGGUCUUCGGAUCGUAAAACUCUGUUAUUAGGGAAGAACAAACGUGUAAGUAACUGUGCACGUCUUGACGGUACCUAAUCAGAAAGCCACGGCUAACUACGUG
rnacentral:rRNA from 1 species